GAUGAACGCUAGCUACAGGCUUAACACAUGCAAGUCGAGGGGAAACGACAUCGAAAGCUUGCUUUUGAUGGGCGUCGACCGGCGCACGGGUGAGUAACGCGUAUCCAACCUGCCCAUCACUUGGGAAUAACCUUGCGAAAGUAAGACUAAUACCCAAUGACAUCCCACGAAGACAUCUGAAUGGGAUUAAAGAUUUAUCGGUGAUGGAUGGGGAUGCGUCUGAUUAGCUUGUUGGCGGGGUAACGGCCCACCAAGGCAACGAUCAGUAGGGGUUCUGAGAGGAAGGUCCCCCACAGUGGAACUGAGACACGGUCCAAACUCCUACGGGAGGCAGCAGUGAGGAAUAUUGGGCAAGGGGCGAGAGCCUGAACCAGCCAAGUAGCGUGCAGGAUGACGGCCCUAGGGGUUGUAAACUGCUUUUAUAAGGGAAUAAAGUGGGUCUCGUGAGACUUUUUGCAUGUACCUAAUGAAUAAGGACCGGCUAAUUCCGUG
rnacentral:rRNA from 1 species